ensembl:snoRNA
UGUGACAAUGAUGAGUUGCACUAUUAGGCAGGUUGCUGAUUGCAGUGGCACAGCGGCCCUGUCCUGACAACCUGUGGUGACACACACUGUGCACAGGGGCCAUCUGAGUCGCA